rnacentral:pre_miRNA from 1 species
AUAAUACUCCCUCCGUCCCAAAAUUCUUGUCUUAGAUUUGUCUAAAUACGGAUGUAUCAAGUCACAUUUUAGUAUUAGAUACAUCCGUAUCUAGACAAAUCUAAGACAAGAAUUUUGGGACGGAGGGAGUAGUAG